UGGGGAAUCUUGCGCAAUGGACGAAAGUCUGACGCAGCGACGCCGCGUGAGCGAUGAAGGCCUUCGGGUUGUAAAGCUCUGUGGGGAGAGACGAAUAAGGUGCAGCUAAUACCUGCAUCGAUGACGGUAUCUCCUUAGCAAGCACCGGCUAACUCUGUGCCAGCAGCCGCGGUAAGACAGAGGGUGCAAACGUUGUUCGGAAUUACUGGGCGUAAAGCGCGUGUAGGCGGCUAAGUGUGUCGGGCGUGAAAUCCCAUGGCUCAACCAUGGAAGUGCACCCGAAACUGCUUAGCUAGAGUCCUGGAGAGGAAGGUGGAAUGCUUGGUGUAGAGGUGAAAUUCGUAGAUAUCAAGCGGAACACCGGUGGCGAAGGCGGCCUUCUGGACAGUGACUGACGCUGAGACGCGAAAGCGUGGGGAGCAAACAGGAUUAGAUACCCUGGUAGUCCACGCCGUAAACGAUGAGUGCUA
rnacentral:rRNA from 1 species